UCUUCUCUCUCUCUCUCUCUCUCUCUCUCUCUGUGUGUGUGUGUGUGUGAGAGAGAGAGAGAGAGAGAGAGAGAGAGGG